AGAGUAAACUUGAAGCCUGAAAUUGCAGCACUCAUUUGGUGACCAGGAGUGGGCAAACAGAAGGACAAAGGCCUACAAGAUUAAAUAAUCAAGUCAUUAUUGUGAAUUUGGAUCUAAAUGACCUGGCAGAAACCAUGGAGAUGAUCUUGGUAAACUCACCUAAUUUUUAAAAUGCCUCACAGAGUUUAAUUUUGCCCUUUUGUGUCAUGGUAAAUGAGAGGCUCUCUUGCCUCCACUUCAUUCCAAACUCAUGUCCCAUGAUCUGCAAGGAAUGUUUUCUCUUUAUUUGCAAGGAUACUGCUCAAGCUUCUAUUUAUGAGCCCCUGAACAAUAGAAUAGACAGCCCCACUGAGACUCUUUUGCCUUUGUGUGGUACAAAGGGACCUCCCUCUAGGAGAAGACAAAAAUAAUUUAAGUCUAUAACUCAUUUUAAAAAAUCAAAACAAAGCAAACAAAACAGAAAAACCCCAGCAUUCAAUUAUUUCUGCUUUCUAUUGGAACUGGAGAUCCUCCUUUUUAACUGAAUUAGCAUAUUCCUGACCUCAGGAACUGCAGCUAUUAUGAAAUUUAUAAUCUGUUUAUAUACCUAACAUAGUAUUCUUAUUCUUAAAUAAGUUCCUAAGUAAAUAUUUGUGAAAUGAUAUUUCCCUUAAUUCAUUCUUAUUGUGCAGUUAAUGAGAUUAUUUGUCAUUGGAUAUUGACUAUAAAAUCAGUGUUGAAAGCCUUUACUAAUUAUUUAUACUAAUGUAUCAUUUAAUGUUUAUUCUAGCUUCCUAUGCAGACAGCCUAGUUAGGUCUGAUUAUGUCCAUGGGCCUAUCUCUAUAGAACAGGCAGAGACAUUAAUGCUAAAUAAAGUACAAUGAAGAAAAGUAAUUUUUUUUGCAUGUUAGUUCUUUGUUUUGCACUUUGUUUCAUUGAAUUGUAACAGAAAGAGCUUGAAGAGAUGAGCUAAAAUAAAGGUAGGCAAUUCAAAGAUAUUUUGAUUGGAAUUGCUGGGUAAGUGAGUGGAGAGAAAAAUGUUGGAAUACCUGAGCAUUCUCUCUCAGUGGCCUAGUUGAACCCCAGGGAACAUUUUGUUCUGAGGGUGAUUUAAAGACACUGAUAAAUAAGAAGGCAUCCUGUUAAGCUAGUUAAAGCUAGACUGAAUAAGAUAGGUUAGUCUGGUACUAAUUUGGGAUAGUUGAGUAGCAAUGGUGAGCCUGAUAAGGCAGGGUGGCUCUCAGUACUCACUCAGCCAUUGGUACCAAAGGAAAAUCAAAGGCUGCAAAAAUGCCAUGUUAUUAAAUAUGUUUUAGGAUGUCUGAAGACUCAUCACAGCCACCUAAGCCCAUAAACUAUUAAACAUGACAUCUAUGCUAUUUAUUAACACAGGAAAAAGGUACACUUUUUUUUUUAAUGCACAGACAUUACAUGGAGACAUAUAUUUUUCCAAACCAGUGCUUAUCUUGAGAGAGUUAAGAACUGUCGACAAACUACUCUAAUGAGGCUGUUUUCUGAGGGAAAGCAAGCUCAGUAAAUCACUCUGCUUUUCUUUGGUCUUUUCGUCCUGCAUGUAAAAUUUUAACCACAUCUGACAGAGGAAGUGAAUCUCUGGGCCAAAAUACUCAACAAAUGUCUUAUCCACAGAUAGAGACUGGUAAGUUCUGGAAGGUGCUUCAUAGUGUUCCAAAGUGUGUCAUCCCUGUGCUUAUGCAUUUGUAUCAAGGAUUUAAAGAGGAAAAACUCAAAGCAAUGUAUUCUGAUCAAGAAAUGGCAGGAAAUGGCAGCUACCUGAUAUGGAACAAUCAACAACUGAAGGUUUAUUUUGAAUGAGAGGUGUUGUCCAACUGCGAGACGGAGUGAUUGAAGCUGAGAAUAAAUGGAAACACAAUCAAUAGUCACUCCAGUGAGGUAGGAAAGAAAGCCAUUCCGAAGUGGCAGAGAAGCUGCUUUUUCCUCCUGCAUGCUGCCUGCUAGUGUGGAUCUUGGCAUAACAGACACUACUUGGCAAAAGAUCCAUCCUUCCUUUUCCUAUACUUUGCUCAGCGGCCUGGAAGAUUGACCUCAAAAGCAAAAUCACCUGGAUUUCCUUGCCAUUUGGCUUUCAAAUGUGCUCAGCCAAUGACAGGCUGGAAAGAAAUUGACAGCUGGGAAAAGAGGAAGAUUUGUGUACAAGAUCCCUUCCACUCCCAUCUCAUUACCUGCCAUGGUCCUAGCAGUGGCUGUUCUUAUUAUGGCCACAACUACUCUUGGACAGGCCAACAUCCACAACUCCAUCCUUCAACUAGGCUUCAUUAACACUGUCCCUCACCCUUAUCUCUUUCUGGGUAGGGGUGAUAAAGGUUUCCUGACAUCAGAGUUCCUGAGUGCCUCAUAUAUUCUUGUUGGUCCCUGAACCUUGCCCCAACAUCAAUAAAAAGUUCCUUCAUUAAAUAAUUUUCAGUUGAAUCUUUCGUGCUGGGAUCUGUCCAAUUCGACUUUAGCAUACUUUUCGUGCCAAGAAAGUGAUAGUUUCUUGCCAGGAUUUGGCUCAAAGGGCUCACAGUGGGUGAGGGGAUGAGAUUACUUAUUAAGUGAUAAAAUGGAGAUCACAGUGGUUAACCUGCCUAAGAUCACAUGGUUGGUCAACUCAUGGUCGAUUCAUUAAAAUAUUAAAACAUAGAAUCAGUCAGGC
rnacentral:lncRNA from 1 species